UACGAAGGGGGCUAGCGUUGUUCGGAAUUACUGGGCGUAAAGCGCAUGUAGGCGGCGAUUUAAGUCGGGGGUGAAAUCCCAGGGCUCAACCCUGGAACUGCCUUCGAUACUAUUUUGCUAGAGUGUGGAAGAGGUAAGUGGAACUGCAAGUGUAGAGGUGAAAUUCGUAGAUAUUCGGAAGAACACCAGUGGCGAAGGCGACUUACUGGACACAUAUUGACGCUGAGGUGCGAAAGCGUGGGGAGCAAACAGG
rnacentral:rRNA from 1 species